UACGUAGGUGGCGAGCGUUGUCCGGAUUUACUGGGCGUAAAGAGCGCGCAGGCGGUCGUUCAAGUCGCGUGUGAAAGCCCCCGGCUCAACUGGGGAGGGUCACGCGAUACUGAUCGACUCGAAGGCAGGAGAGGGAAGUGGAAUUCCCGGUGUAGUGGUGAAAUGCGUAGAUAUCGGGAGGAACACCAAUGGCGAAGGCAGCUCGCUGGGACGUAACUGACGCUGAGACGCGAAAGCGUGGGGAGCAAACAGG
rnacentral:rRNA from 1 species